rnacentral:rRNA from 1 species
UACGAAGGGGGCUAGCGUUGCUCGGAAUCACUGGGCGUAAAGGGCGCGUAGGCGGUCUUCUAAGUCUUGUGUGAAAUCCCUCGGCUCAACUGAGGAACUGCACGGGAUACUGGAAGACUUGAGUUCGGGAGAGGGAAGCGGAAUUCCGGGUGUAGCGGUGAAAUGCGUAGAUAUCCGGAGGAACACCGGUGGCGAAGGCGGCUUCCUGGACCGAUUACUGACGCUGAGGCGCGAAAGCUAGGGGAGCAAACGGG